rnacentral:rRNA from 1 species
AUUGAACGCUGGCGGCAGGCUUAACACAUGCAAGUCGAGCGGGGUGAUGGUGCUUGCACUAUCACUUAGCGGCGGACGGGUGAGUAAUGCUUAGGAAUCUGCCUAUUAGUGGGGGACAACAUCUCGAAAGGGAUGCUAAUACCGCAUACGUCCUACGGGAGAAAGCAGGGGAUCACUUGUGACCUUGCGCUAAUAGAUGAGCCUAAGUCGGAUUAGCUAGUUGGUGGGGUAAAGGCCUACCAAGGCGACGAUCUGUAGCGGGUCUGAGAGGAUGAUCCGCCACACUGGGACUGAGACACGGCCCAGACUCCUACGGGAGACAGCAGUGGGGAAUAUUGGACAAUGGGGGGAACCCUGAUCCAGCCAUGCCGCGUGUGUGAAGAAGGUCUUCGGAUUGUAAAGCACUUUAAGUUGGGAGGAAGGGCAGUAAGUUAAUACCUUGCUGUUUUGACGUUACCGACAGAAUAAGCACCGGCUAACUCUGUGCCAGCAGCCGCCGUAA